rnacentral:rRNA from 1 species
GACGGAAGGUGCAAGCGUUGCUCGGAAUCACUGGGCGUAAAGGGUGCGUAGGCGGCCUGGUAAGUCUGGCGUGAAAAGCCCCAGGGCUCAGCCCUGGAAGUGCGCUAGAAACUGCGAGGCUCGAGUGCCGGAGGGGGAGAGUGGAAUUCCUGGUGUAGCGGUGAAAUGCGUAGAUAUCAGGAGGAACACCGGUGGCGAAGGCGGCCAUCUGGACGACAACUGACGCUGAGACGCGAAAGCGUGGGGAGCAAACAGG